rnacentral:lncRNA from 1 species
CAGGAGGCAACUCUAUGGGAACUCCCAGGGCUGGCUGGCUGUAGCUGAGGCCUUUCUGCUUGGAGAUAAGGGUAAGACUCUGACCCAGCUUUCCUUUUGCCCACUUGGUGACUGGCAGCAUCUGCAGAGGACUCAUGUGGACUUUAAGGAGAAGGUGCUGCUGUCAGAAGCUAUCAGCUGACCCAAUGGAGUUUAAGGACUCGGAAGCAUCCUUAACUCCUUAUUGGAACUUGUGUUGACUGGCUUGAGAGUCUCCUGUGUAUUCUCUGGUCAAACUGGGCCACUGCUACAAACCCUUUCACCUCCCUAAACCCCAGUCUGGUUGGUGCUGAAGGUGGUUAUCUGAUGUCCAAUUUUCAGGAUGGAGUUGUGGCUCUCUAGUGUUGGGCCCCCUCACACAGGCCUGGAGUGUGCACCUCUGUCCAAGUGCUGCCAAACAGGCAGAACUCCCCCUUCUUGAGGAGCACCAAGUUGCUCAGGUUUGACAUUAGAGGAUUUUGAUUAGACUUCUGUCUUAAUUUUCUGUUGCUGGGACAAAAAUGCCUGACACCCACAAAUUAAAGGAGGAAAGGUUUAUUUUAGCUCAGUUUGUAGCGGUUUCAGUCCAUAGUCGGCUGGCUCCAAGACAGGGUGGCACAGCAGAGGGGCAUGGUAGAGGAUGAAGUCCAUGGCAGGGUAGGCAGGAGGUAGUGAAGCAGCAAAGCAGUAGCAGCAAGACUCCCUUUCCCUUUUAUCCCAUCCAGACUACAAGCCUUUGAGGGGGUGCCAUGCACCCCCAAGAUGGACCUUCCCAUUAUCAACACCCAAAACUUUGCUAAACCAAUCAGUAGACUAAUUUAGUAUCACACACCCUUAAUCCUAGUAUCACAACUCCUAGAUCUAGCCAGCUCUGAAAAGCCCCACAUGAGUGCAUGAGGCUUUGUGAAGACAUCUAGAUAUAACCCAUAACAGCUCCCUUGAUCACAAGGAACAAGAUUAAUAUUACUUCUCAUGGGAUAAAGGCAGGCAGGCCUUGGCCAGCCUAUGUCUAGUUCUCAUCCACACUGCCUUUCCUGGCAAGUUACUGUGGAGUCCUACUCCCACCUUCCUGGCUCUCCUUUAGUUUUCCCUCAUUUCUAAUCAGUCAACACAUUUUUUUUUUUUUUACCAGAAGUAUUUAUUGAUGGAUCAAAGGCUAUAAUUUUAAUGGGACAACUGUGGAUUAAAAGUUUGCUGUACAGCCAAAGGUGGAAAAAGCCAUAAUCUUAGGAACUUUAUGUAAAUCAAGGAGCCUCUGAAGUACCUAAGAGUAGAAAAUUUGCUAUUCAAAGGAAAACAAUCCCAAAAAGGUGAGUAGAAACUGAAAAAACUGGAAAUAAGUUCUACUACCAGUAAUUACAAUGAAGGUAAACACCUUAAACUUAACCCAUCUCUCCCACCUUACUUCUCAUCUCACUUGCCUGCCCCACAUGGAGACCCUGGCAUUUCACCAGGCAUGUGGGGAGGGUACCCAGGUGGGGCAGCCACAGCCCAGCAGUAAAGCAAGUGGGGCCAGUGGUGGCUGAGCCAGUUUGGAAGCGACUGACUUCAUUAUGCAAAUAAAGUCACUAGCUGAGAAAAGAAAUGCACAGAUUGAGGAUAAUGAAAGCCAGUUUUCUCACUUUUUUGAGAAAGCAUUGAUGUGUGAGGUGAGAUGUAAAUACAUAGUGAAUAUUUACAUUUUUAGAAAUUUAUUACAGUACAAGACACUUUGCCAUUCAUUGCCCUCAGAACACUCCCUCUCACUUUGAACACACAUCAUUCUUUCUUUUUGAGACAGAGUCUUGCAAUGUAGUCUAGGCUGGCCUCAAACUCACAGUGAUCCCCCUGCCUCAGCCUCUGGAGGGCUGGGAUCACAGGCAUGAGCUACCACACCAGCCUUUGCAAUUUUCUGAAGCAGUUGUGGAAGUCUUCUCUUGAUUAUACAGGGUGUGAAUGCUGCUAUGAGUGGCAUUCAAGGUAAGGCAGGCUCAUAAAUACAUUGUGUGUUUCAUCCACCUUACUCAUUGGAUGUGAUUCCUAGUUCUUCCCCAAAGUCAAAAUGUUCAUGAAAGGUAAACAAUUUGAAUCAAUUCAGGACAUCAAGGCAGCCAUGAGAGUGCAACUGAAGACAAAAUAGGAUUUCCAGAAUUGCUGCAGAAAGUGGCAAGAAUGAUGGGUAAGUGUAUUUGAAGAAAAGGAGCAUUUUGAGGAUGGUUAAUGGCAAUGUGUAAUAUUAUAAUUAUUUUCUUUAAAAAUUUAAACCUUCAAAAAAAAUUUAAUCCGGGGAUUUAGCUCAGUGAUUUCCCCACCUGCUGAACAAGCGUAAGCGCAAGGACCCGAGUUCGAUCCCCAGUACCAAAAAAAAAAAAAAAGCAGGAAAAAAUUUAAAUGUUCACCAUAUUUAAUCACACCUCGUGUGGUUGAGGGAACAGAAUUUGAGUUCAGAAAUAAAACCUCACACUUGCAGUCAAUUCAUUUUGACAAAUAUCCCAAGUUAUUUUAAUGGAGGAAAGGAUAGUUUUUCCAGAAGCGAUUAUGGGACAAAUGGAUAUCCACAUGCAAAAGAAUGAAGAUGAACCCCCAACUCACACAAUGGACAAAAAUUCAAUAAAACAGAUCACAAACUAUAUAGAACUAUAAGA